rnacentral:rRNA from 1 species
AUGGACAUGGAGAUGGAGAGGAUGAUAGGGUGCCAGAUCCCGGCGUUCGGGCUGUGGAACUACUGCAGCGACCUGCCCAUCACGCAGUACUUCGACCUCGCCAUGCAGGCCAGGCUGCUCAAGCGCCACCGCCGCUGCUGCGACGCCGGCGGCGGCCUCGUGCUCUUCGGCGCCUCGCCGUCUCCACGCAAGCCGCCCCAGAUCAAGGUGAUAAGGAGAGAAGUCGGGGAGAAGCAGAGCGACGGCGGCGAGCUGGGCGGCGGCGUGACCGGGAGGGCGGCUGCUGCCGGCGCGACGAAGCGCGUGGCUGCUACCGGGGCGGUGGACGAGGACCUCUACAAGGUGCCACGGCCGCUCGCAUACCAAAAACCUCGAAAGAUGAGGAAGGUGGUGUGGAGCUUGUGGAUUGGGUGCCUGGGGCUUGACUGCAUUGCCUAA